rnacentral:lncRNA from 1 species
UUUUUUUUUUUUUUUUUUAUUUUAUAAAUCUUAUUGUAUUAGGAGGAGAAGUCUUCGGGAAAGGGACGGUGGGAGGAGAGGGACGCCUCCUGCUGCUGAUUCUGUGAUGUUCCUGUCUGCUGCUACUGUUCCUUGACAGAGAUGAUGUUGAACAACACUCUAGGAAGAAAUUUAAACUCCUCCCAGUAGCCAUCAGACCAAAACCAAGUAAUUUUGCAUUAUCUUGAAUUAACAUAAUACGUCGACACGUAAAUUUCAAUUGUCUGGUCAAUGGAAUUGAAUACCACCUCCGCUUUAGCAUGCACAUCCCAACAAUGCAUUAGAUUCACAUAGAAUUACCUUCUCUUUGCUUGGGCCUGGAUGGCAAAUUGAGUCUUAACCUGUUACUUCUUUCCCUAGAAAUGUUCUCAUCUUUCUCCUCUCUUCCUUUUUUUACCCUGUUUUUUUUUUUUCCUUUUGGUGUAAAGGUUUUAGUUUUGAAAUUACCAAAUAUCCCAUCUCUAUUACCAGACACAGAGAGAGAAAUGAACGCCUUCCUUUACUUGUACAAACAAAGCCUGCUCAAAAUUUUAAUAUGUUUAAAAAUUGAACGAGUAACGUUGUAGUAAAUUACUGCACAAAAUUACACUGCAUGUAAAUAAUUAGUCCACUUACAUUAUAAAGGGGUAAAAAGAAACAGAAAAUCCCUCUCUCUAACUUUUUUUUCCCUUUCCUUAAUCGUUAGUAUAAUACACAAUACAAAAUUUUAAUCGCCAAAAAUUUUUCCCUAGGACUAAAAGCGGUUGCCUGUUGGCUGAGAUAGAAGAAACCAUGUCAAAAAAUGCCUAAACAU